rnacentral:rRNA from 1 species
UACAGAGGGUGCAAGCGUUGUUCGGAAUUAUUGGCGUAAAGGGCGCGUAGGCGGUUCGGCAAGUCUCUAGUGAAAUCUCUGGGCUCAACUCAGAGUCUGCUGGGGAAACUGCCGGGGCUUGAGUGUGGGAGAGGAGAGUGGAAUUCCCGGUGUAGCGGUGAAAUGCGUAGAUAUCGGGGAGGAACACCCUGUGGGCGAAAAGCGGCUCU